AGUCUUAUGCCCAUGUCUGGAACUGGAGUGGGAUCGGCCACAUUGAAAGAACACAGCCUGAGGGCAGGGAAGCUAUUGAGCCCCAGAGAGAAGUUAAAGUACUUUUCAUGAAAGGAUUGGUUACUUGCACUACAGCAAAUUUACAACCAGCAAAAUAGACUAGAAACAAGCUACUUGUUGAUGAAGGAUCUGGACCAAGAUAGGAUUAGUGAAUAUCUCAAGAACAAUCAAGAAUGUAAGAAAAUAUCAUUGUCUGUUAAGACCCCAUCGCAGAGAAGUUAAAGAGCUUCAAUCACCAUGCUUUCAGGGUCAAUUUGUCUCCGAAAAGGAACAGAUGGGGAAGAAUUAUUCCAUUCACAGUUGACUUGUCAGAAAUUCCAAGAUCUUGGACUGGCUGAAAGCAAUGAUGUUGCCAUUCAUCCUUUCACGUAUUCAUUAUGGUCUACAGCUGAGAAGGGCUAUUUGGGGUUUGCUUUGCCUGAUGGUAGCAGAAGAAAACCAAGAGGCCUCUCUACGAAAGCUUGCAGUAAGGAGAAAGUUCUGGAGACUGGGAAGAGCAACACAAAGAUAUUCAGUUGCUUGGUGAGAGCUGCUCUCUGCUUCCAAGGCGGCACCUUGUUGCUGCAUUCUCCAAUGGGAAGGAACGCUGGGUCCUCACAUGACAGAAGGUGGAAAGGAUGUAAUGAAGUUAUUCCGAGAGUUAGCACCUCUGUAUGCUCAGGAUCUCUGUCCAGUGAAUCCCUUGCCAUUCUAAUGCAGAGAUCUGGGAACCUGAUGUGGGAAGAAAUCUCAUCUGUGACCACGAUUUUGUCAGGAGUCACGGGAUUCUAUAGCUGCAGCAAACCUGGAGCAAACUGGUCCCCACCAAUCUGGGAAAGAGGCUGAAUAUGUAAUUGCACUCCUUUGGGGAAGCACAUUCUGAAUUCUGCCAGCAGGAAGCUCCUCUCUUCAAUAGAUCUUGAUGAAAGAUUCCAUCACAAAUCCCAUUACUUCAACCAGGCAAUUAUCUCUCAAGAACCAAAGGAGGAAUCCUCUUUUUUUUUCCCCCUUUUCUUGGUGUGUGUGAGCAUGUAUGUGAUCUUUUUCUACAAUACAUAGUAUUUCAACCA
ensembl:lncRNA LINC01435 long intergenic non-protein coding RNA 1435